rnacentral:rRNA from 1 species
AGAGUUUGAUUCUGGCUCAGAUUGAACGCUGGCGGCGUGCCUAACACAUGCAAGUCGAGCGAGAAAGUUUCCUUCGGGAGAUGAGUACAGCGGCGCACGGGUGAGUAACGCGUGGAUGAUCUACCUUGAAGACUGGGAUAACAGUGGGAAACUGCUGCUAAUACCGGAUGUUCUACAUAUUCAACUAUGUGGCAAAGAUGGCCUCUGUUUACAAGCUAUUACUUCGAGAUGAGUCCGCGUUUCAUUAGCUAGACGGUAGGGUAACGGCCUACCGUGGCUACGAUGAAUAGCCGGCCUGAGAGGGUGGCCGGCCACACUGGAACUGGAACACGGUCCAGACUCCUACGGGAGGCAGCAGUGGGGAAUAUUGCGCAAUGGACGAAAGUCUGACGCAGCGACGCCGCGUGGGGGAAGAAGGUUUUCGGAUCGUAAACCCCUGUCAGGAGGGAAGAAACUAUUGGGUUCUAAUAGGGCCCUUUAUUGACGGUACCUCCAGAGGAAGCACCGGCUAACUCCGUGCCAGCAGCCGCGGUAAUACGGAGGGUGCAAGCGUUAAUCGGAAUCACUGGGCGUAAAGCGUACGUAGGCUGCCCUGCAAGUCAAAUGUGAAAGCCCACGGCUCAACCGUGGAAUUGCAUUCGAAACUGCAGGGCUUGAGUUCGGGAGAGGGUGGCGGAAUUCCAGGUGUAGGAGUGAAAUCCGUAGAUAUCUGGAGGAACACCAGUGGCGAAGGCGGCCACCUGGACCGAUACUGACGCUGAGGUACGAAAGUGUGGGGAGCAAACAGGAUUAGAUACCCUGGUAGUCCACACCGUAAACGAUGGACACUAGGUGUCGGGGGCUUGACCUUCGGUGCCGGAGCUAACGCGUUAAGUGUCCCGCCUGGGGAGUACGGUCGCAAGGCUGAAACUCAAAGAAAUUGACGGGGCCCGCACAAGCGGUGGAGUAUGUGGUUUAAUUCGAUCAACGCGAAGAACCUUACCUGGACUUGACAUCCUGUGAAUCCCUCUUAAUAGAGGGAGUGCCCUUCGGGGAACACAGUGACAGGUGCUGCAUGGCUGUCGUCAGCUCGUGCCGUGAGGUGUUGGGUUAAGUCCUGCAACGAGCGCAACCCCUAUCUUUAGUUGCCAGCAAGUAAUGUUGGGCACUCUAGAGAGACUGCCUAGGUUAACUGGGAGGAAGGUGGGGACGACGUCAAGUCAUCAUGGCCCUUACGUCCAGGGCUACACACGUACUACAAUGGCGAGUACAAAGGGCAGCGAAGCCGCGAGGUGGAGCCAAUCCCAAAAAGCUCGUCUCAGUCCGAAUUGGAGUCUGCAACUCGACUCCAUGAAGUCGGAAUCGCUAGUAAUCCCGGAUCAGCAUGCCGGGGUGAAUACGUUCCCGGGCCUUGUACACACCGCCCGUCACACCACGGAAGUUGGUUCUACCCGAAGUCACCGGGCUAACACUUUAUUGUGAGGCAGGUGCCGACGGUAGGGCUGAUGACUGGGGUGAAGUC